rnacentral:RNase_P_RNA from 2 species
GUGAUUCUAAUUACUCCCAUCGUCCCGGGAAGGUCUGAGGAAAGGUCAUCUGCUACUUGGGUAGUUACAAUUACCUUCUAGCCGGAGGCGUCGCCAAUAGCGACGGUAAGGCAACCAGAAACUCGGGCUACGGGACUUUGUCUAGGACUCUUUUAGACGAGAUUUGGUCCCGUGUGCCCUUGAAAUGUCUCGCGACCAGCCGUUUUAGCUCAAUCUGUGACGCGACGUGUGUCGUAACUCAAUUCAGACUAAUCUUCAGCUCGC